AAAAAAUUACUCAAGAAUAAUCCAUGAUCCAUUAUCUUAUACAUUAUUGGUACCUAAAGAUUUAACCAAACUUUAUUUCAUUUUACAAAUAAAUAAAAUAAAAUUGGACAGUUUCUUUACUAUCAACAUGCAAAUAUUCUAUAUAUUUUGUAAUCCAUUAAUUUGAAGUUCUCAGUGAAACUAAGCUGGACAGCUUGUCUGCACGGUUACUCUUAUUCAAUCUCAGAAUCAAACUAUCACCUUCUGAGGCAUUACAACAUUCGACCGGAUAAAACUAAAAACAAAUUAAUAAUCUACUUUCAUCAUCAAUACAUCUCUUUGCUAUCAUUUGUAUUUUUAAUAAUCUUACAAACUAAAAACAAAAAACGAAAGAAAAAAUAAAUAUGACCACCAUCAUCAUCGUAUAAAACCCUGGAUACAAAGACGAUUUUUGAUCAUCACAGAGGAUUACCAAAUUGACGAGCAGCAACUUACAGUGGCAACGAGCAGCAGC
rnacentral:lncRNA from 1 species